GAUGAACGCUGGCGGCGUGCCUAAUACAUGCAAGUCGAGCGAACGGACGAGAAGCUUGCUUCUCUGAUGUUAGCGGCGGACGGGUGAGUAACACGUGGAUAACCUACCUAUAAGACUGGGAUAACUUCGGGAAACCGGAGCUAAUACCGGAUGAUAUUUUGAACCGCAUGGUUCAAAAGUGAAAGACGGUCUUGCUGUCACUUAUAGAUGGAUCCGCGCUGCAUUAGCUAGUUGGUAAGGUAACGGCUUACCAAGGCAACGAUGCAUAGCCGACCUGAGAGGGUGAUCGGCCACACUGGAACUGAGACACGGUCCAGACUCCUACGGGAGGCAGCAGUAGGGAAUCUUCCGCAAUGUGCGAAAGCCUGACGGAGCAACGCCGCGUGAGUGAUGAAGGUCUUCGGAUCGUAAAACUCUGUUAUUAGGGAAGAACAUAUGUGUAAGUAACUGUGCACAUCUUGACGGUACCUAAUCAGAAAGCCACGGCUAACUACGUG
rnacentral:rRNA from 1 species